UCUCUUGGUGGCGAGUGGCGGACUGGGUGAGGAAUACAUCGGAAUCUACCUUUUGGUGGGGGAUAACGUAGGGAAACUUACGCUAAUACCGCAUACGCCCUUCGGGGGAAAGCCGGGGACCUUCGGGCCUGGCGCUGAUAGAUGAGCCGAUGUCGGAUUAGCUAGUUGGUGAGGUAAUGGCUCACCAAGGCGACGAUCCGUAGCUGGUCUGAGAGGAUGAUCAGCCACACUGGAACUGAGACACGGUCCAGACUCCUACGGGAGGCAGCAGUGGGGAAUAUUGGACAAUGGGCGCAAGCCUGAUCCAGCCAUACCGCGUGGGUGAAGAAGGCCUUCGGGUUGUAAAGCCCUUUUGUUGGGAAAGAAAAGCGAUCGGUUAAUACCCGGUUGUUCUGACGGUACCCAAAGAAUAAGCACCGGCUAACUUCGUGCCAGCAGCCGCGGUAAUACGAAGGGUGCAAGCGUUACUCGGAAUUACUGGGCGUAAAGCGUGCGUAGGUGGUGGUUUAAGUCCGUUGUGA
rnacentral:rRNA from 1 species